CUGCCUCUAGAACAUUACCCUGGGCUGCACCACUCAUAACAUCUGUCCAGUCAAAAACUGCACUAUAUUCAGUAAGAUCAUAAAUAUAUACCACAAAUAAUGAGACUAAAACAUUGCCCUGGGGUACUCCACUUGUCUUUCCCAUCAAAAAUUGUAACAUUCACUUGUACUGUCUGCUUGAUAGGUCUCAAAUAAAGGAACAAGACUUCAGACAAAAGCCAGAUUGGUGAGGAUCAUUGUGCUGGAACAUCAUCAUCAUUUCAUAGACGCCUGCUCCUAGGAGCUGCCACCAGGGGACGGCCACGGCAGAAGAGUUUCCAACUGUAACGCAUCACAGCAAUGCUAGGGAUGCUAACACAGGCCUCCCCACAGAGUAGCAUAGGGCAGAGGGCGGCGUGCAGCCCUGCAUUGCAUCAAAUCAGCUGCCCCAUCACGGCCAUGCCCACGCCCGUCAUUCUGGGCCAAGGAGAACCUCGGGUGGCAGGCAGCACAGCGGGGGAGGCGGCGGUGCCAGGCCAGGAGGAAUUUGGCGAUGACAUUUACCGUCUGGCGAGGGAGCAGCCGUGGGUGGUGGCAGCAACUCAUCGAGCGGCGUGGAGGAGGGAGCCGCCAGGGUGGACCACGCCUACAGCCUGCACGUCACCGCCCGCCAUGCACUAAGGGCUGUGGGCGUGCAUGACCGCCAACCAAAGACUCAGCCCAGAGGAAGAGCCAGGCCAGCACCACCACAGGGACAGAGGACGAUGAGGAGAGUGUUCCAACGCUGCUCCAACUCAAGGUUCAUAGGCCACACGCUGAGCCCUGCCAAGAUGUCCUGCCAGGUGGUCGGCCUCCACCCCUACACCUCCCACUGGUUCCUCCUGCUGCCCCACUACAAGGAUGUGCCAAGUAUGCCCUCCAGCCUGCAGUCCUUGGAUGACCCUCCGCGUGCCGUGGAUUAAGGCCAACCUUAACGUGUGCAUAUCUGGUGAGCUCUGGGACCACCCUGCCCUCCCUCACCCACAGGGAUGAGCUUAUCAAGGAGUGGGCGAAACCCUCCACACUCUGACCUGUGUGUUGGCCCGCCAUGUACGCCCUCGGCCUCAGCAGUCUGCCGCUGGAGCGCGUCGGUGAACGGCGACUCGUCAGGAGGGGCUUCACCAAGCGCUCCGGCCUGGAUGUUAGUGCUGAGUGUUGCCUCCCAGAUAGUGAAGUCGGUUAGUCUGAAUUGGUCUUAGAAAUCACUACGUUUACCUCAGUUUACUAAGGAGGAAAUUACACUGAAAUCUAGGCGUCCGGAUUCUGAUGUGCAGGGAUUUGUAAGGGAUGUGAGUGCCUGAGUGUUGCUGUUGGUGUCGUGGAAGUCCAGGAGUCUGAAUUGGUCUGAAAAAUCCCAGUAAAAUUUAUUUUUGCUAACGGGGAUUUUGUAAGCUGAAAUAUAGUUGUCCAAAUUCUGAAAUGCAGGAAAUUCAUAAAAGUAACAAGUGCCAGAGUGCUGGUAGUGAUUCAGUAACAGUCUGUCAGUACAAAUUCCAUUGCUCUGAAGAA